UACAGAGGGGGCAAGCGUUGUUCGGAAUUACUGGGCGUAAAGGGCGCGUAGGCGGCCUUCUAAGUCGAACGUGAAAUCCCCAGGCUCAACCUGGGAACUGCGUCUGAUACUGGAUGGCUUGAAUCCGGGAGAGGGAUGCAGAAUUCCAGGUGUAGCGGUGAAAUGCGUAGAUAUCUGGAGGAAUACCGGUGGCGAAGGCGGCAUCCUGGACCGGCAUUGACGCUGAGGAGCGAAAGCUAGGGGAGCAAACGGG
rnacentral:rRNA from 1 species